AUUGAACGCUGGCGGCAGGCCUAACACAUGCAAGUCGAGCGAGAGGCGGACGGGUGAGUAAUGUCUGGGAAACUGCCUGAUGGAGGGGGAUAACUACUGGAAACGGUAGCUAAUACCGCAUACCAUCAGAUGUGCCCAGAUUGGAUUAGCUGGUAGGUGGGGUAACGGCACACCUAGGCGACGAUCCCUAGCUGGUCUGAGAGGAUGACCAGCCACACUGGAACUGAGUCACGGUCCAGACUCCUACGGGAGGCAGCAGGGGGGAAUAUGGCACAAUGGGCGCAAGCCUGAUGAAGCCAUGCCGCGAGAGUGAAGAAGGCAAUCGGGUUGUAAAGCACUGUCAGCGGGGAGGCGUUAACCGAAGAAGAAGCACCGGCUAACUCCGUGCCAGCCGGCGCGGUUAAAC
rnacentral:rRNA from 1 species